UACGAAGGGUGCAAGCGUUACUCGGAAUUACUGGGCGUAAAGCGUGCGUAGGUGGUUCGUUAAGUCUGUCGUGAAAGCCCCGGGCUCAACCUGGGAAUGGCGAUGGAUACUGGCGGGCUAGAGUGCGGUAGAGGCGAGUGGAAUUCCUGGUGUAGCGGUGAAAUGCGCAGAUAUCAGGAGGAACACCUAUUGCGAAGGCAGCUCGCUGGGACGUAACUGACGCUGAGACGCGAAAGCGUGGGGAGCAAACAGG
rnacentral:rRNA from 1 species